rnacentral:rRNA from 1 species
GACGAACGCUGGCGGCGUGCUUAACACAUGCAAGUCGAACGGAAAGGCCCUGCUUGCAGGGUACUCGAGUGGCGAACGGGUGAGUAACACGUGUGUGAUCUGCCCUGCACUUCGGGAUAAGCCUGGGAAACUGGGUCUAAUACCGGAUAGGAUCCAUUUUGAGUGUGAUGGUUGGAAAGUUUUUUCGGUGUAGGAUGAGCUCGCGGCCUAUCAGCUUGUUGGUGGGGUAAUGGCCUACCAAGGCGGCGACGGGUAGCCGGCCUGAGAGGGUGGACGGCCACAUUGGGACUGAGAUACGGCCGAGACUCCUACGGGAGGAAGCAGUGGGGAAUAUUGAACAAUGGGCGCAAGCCUGAUGCAGCGAGGCCGCGUGGGGGAUGACGGCCUUCGGGUUGUAAAAUCCUUUCGCUAGGGACGAAGCUUUUUGUGACGGUACCUAGAUAAGAAGCACCGGCUAACUACGUG